rnacentral:rRNA from 1 species
GGAGUUAGCCGGUGCUUCUUCUGCGAGUAACGUCACAGAUGUAAGGUAUUAACUUACACCCUUUCCUCCUCGCUGAAAGUGCUUUACAACCCGAAGGCCUUCUUCACACACGCGGCAUGGCUGCAUCAGGGUUUCCCCCAUUGUGCAAUAUUCCCCACUGCUGCCUCCCGUAGGAGUCUGGGCCGUGUCUCAGUCCCAGUGUGGCUGAUCAUCCUCUCAGACCAGCUAGGGAUCGUCGCCUAGGUGAGCCUUUACCUCACCUACUAGCUAAUCCCACCUGGGCUUAUCCAUCAGCGCAAGGCCCGAAGGUCCCCUGCUUUCCCCCGUAGGGCGUAUGCGGUAUUAGCAGUCGUUUCCAACUGUUAUCCCCACAACUGGGCAAAUUCCCAGGCAUUACUCACCCGUCCGCCGCUCGUCAUCUUCAAAGCAAGCUUUUGAAAUGUUACCGCUCGACUUGCAUGUGUUAGGCCUGCCGCCAGCGUUCAAUCUGAGCCAUGAUCAAACUCUGA